GGUUAAGCGACUAAGCGUACACGGUGGAUGCCCUGGCAGUCAGAGGCGAUGAAGGGCGUGCUAAUCUGCGAUAAGCGCCGGUAAGGUGAUAUGAACCGUUAUAACCGGCGAUACCCGAAUGGGGAAACCCAGUGUGAUUCGUCACACUAUCAUUAACUGAAUCCAUAGGUUAAUGAGGCGAACCGGGGGAACUGAAACAUCUAAGUACCCCGAGGAAAAGAAAUCAACCGAGAUUCCCCCAGUAGCGGCGAGCGAACGGGGAGGAGCCCAGAGCCUGAAUCAGCAUAUGUGUUAGUGGAAGCGUCUGGAAAGGCGCGCGAUACAGGGUGACAGCCCCGUACACAAAAGCGCAUGUGCUGUGAGCUCGAUGAGUAGGGCGGGACACGUGGUAUCCUGUCUGAAUAUGGGGGGACCAUCCUCCAAGGCUAAAUACUCCUGACUGACCGAUAGUGAACCAGUACCGUGAGGGAAAGGCGAAAAGAACCCCGGCGAGGGGAGUGAAAAAGAACCUGAAACCGUGUACGUACAAGCAGUGGGAGCACAGGUUUACCUGUGUGACUGCGUACCUUUUGUAUAAUGGGUCAGCGACUUAUAUUCUGUAGCAAGGUUAACCGAAUAGGGGAGCCGGAGGGAAACCGAGUCUUAACCGGGCGUUAAGUUGCAGGGUAUAGACCCGAAACCCGGUGAUCUAGCCAUGGGCAGGUUGAAGGUUGGGUAACACUAACUGGAGGACCGAACCGACUAAUGUUGAAAAAUUAGCGGAUGACCUGUGGCUGGGGGUGAAAGGCCAAUCAAACCGGGAGAUAGCUGGUUCUCCCCGAAAGCUAUUUAGGUAGCGCCUCGUGAAUUCAUCUCCGGGGGUAGAGCACUGUUUCGGCUAGGGGGCCAUCCCGGCUUACCAACCCGAUGCAAACUGCGAAUACCGGAGAAUGUUAUCACGGGAGACACACGGCGGGUGCUAACGUCCGUCGUGAAGAGGGAAACAACCCAGACCGCCAGCUAAGGUCCCAAAGUCAUGGUUAAGUGGGAAACGAUGUGGGAAGGCCCAGACAGCCAGGAUGUUGGCUUAGAAGCAGCCAUCAUUUAAAGAAAGCGUAAUAGCUCACUGGUCGAGUCGGCCUGCGCGGAAGAUGUAACGGGGCUAAACCAUGCACCGAAGCUGCGGCAGCGACACUGUGUGUUGUUGGGUAGGGGAGCGUUCUGUAAGCCUGUGAAGGUGUGUCGUGAGGCAUGCUGGAGGUAUCAGAAGUGCGAAUGCUGACAUAAGUAACGAUAAAGCGGGUGAAAAGCCCGCUCGCCGGAAGACCAAGGGUUCCUGUCCAACGUUAAUCGGGGCAGGGUGAGUCGACCCCUAAGGCGAGGCCGAAAGGCGUAGUCGAUGGGAAACGGGUUAAUAUUCCCGUACUUGGUGUUACUGCGAAGGGGGGACGGAGAAGGCUAUGUUGGCCGGGCGACGGUUGUCCCGGUUUAAGCGUGUAGGUGUGUGUUCCAGGUAAAUCCGGUUCACUUUAACACUGAGGCGUGACGACGAGGCACUACGGUGCUGAAGCAACAAAUGCCCUGCUUCCAGGAAAAGCCUCUAAGCAUCAGGUAACACGAAAUCGUACCCCAAACCGACACAGGUGGUCAGGUAGAGAAUACCAAGGCGCUUGAGAGAACUCGGGUGAAGGAACUAGGCAAAAUGGUGCCGUAACUUCGGGAGAAGGCACGCUGAUAUGUAGGUGAAGCGGUUUACCCGUGGAGCUGAAAUCAGUCGAAGAUACCAGCUGGCUGCAACUGUUUAUUAAAAACACAGCACUGUGCAAACACGAAAGUGGACGUAUACGGUGUGACGCCUGCCCGGUGCCGGAAGGUUAAUUGAUGGGGUCAGCGCAAGCGAAGCUCCUGAUCGAAGCCCCGGUAAACGGCGGCCGUAACUAUAACGGUCCUAAGGUAGCGAAAUUCCUUGUCGGGUAAGUUCCGACCUGCACGAAUGGCGUAAUGAUGGCCAGGCUGUCUCCACCCGAGACUCAGUGAAAUUGAACUCGCUGUGAAGAUGCAGUGUACCCGCGGCAAGACGGAAAGACCCCGUGAACCUUUACUAUAGCUUGACACUGAACAUUGAGCCUUGAUGUGUAGGAUAGGUGGGAGGCUUUGAAGUGUGGACGCCAGUCUGCAUGGAGCCGACCUUGAAAUACCACCCUUUAAUGUUUGAUGUUCUAACGUGGACCCGUUACCCGGGUUGCGGACAGUGUCUGGUGGGUAGUUUGACUGGGGCGGUCUCCUCCUAAAGAGUAACGGAGGAGCACGAAGGUUGGCUAAUCCUGGUCGGACAUCAGGAGGUUAGUGCAAUGGCAUAAGCCAGCUUGACUGCGAGCGUGACGGCGCGAGCAGGUGCGAAAGCAGGUCAUAGUGAUCCGGUGGUUCUGAAUGGAAGGGCCAUCGCUCAACGGAUAAAAGGUACUCCGGGGAUAACAGGCUGAUACCGCCCAAGAGUUCAUAUCGACGGCGGUGUUUGGCACCUCGAUGUCGGCUCAUCACAUCCUGGGGCUGAAGUAGGUCCCAAGGGUAUGGCUGUUCGCCAUUUAAAGUGGUACGCGAGCUGGGUUUAGAACGUCGUGAGACAGUUCGGUCCCUAUCUGCCGUGGGCGCUGGAGAACUGAGGGGGGCUGCUCCUAGUACGAGAGGACCGGAGUGGACGCAUCACUGGUGUUCGGGUUGUCAUGCCAAUGGCACUGCCCGGUAGCUAAAUGCGGAAGAGAUAAGUGCUGAAAGCAUCUAAGCACGAAACUUGCCCCGAGAUGAGUUCUCCCUGAGACUUAAAGUCUCCUGAAGGAACGUUGAAGACGACGACGUUGAUAGGCCGGGUGUGUAAGCGCAGCGAUGCGUUGAGCUAACCGGUACUAAUGAACCGUGAGGCUUAACCUU
rnacentral:rRNA from 1 species